AGAGUUGUGGCUCAGUGGUAGAGCCCAUGCUUAGUAUGUAUGAGGCACUGGGCUCGAUUCUCAGCGCUGCAU
rnacentral:tRNA from 1 species